rnacentral:rRNA from 1 species
UCAUGCAAGUCGAACGAACUCUGGUAUUGAUUGGUGCUUGCAUCAUGAUUUACAUUUGAGUGAGUGGCGAACUGGUGAGUAACACGUGGGAAACCUGCCCAGAAGCGGGGGAUAACACCUGGAAACAGAUGCUAAUACCGCAUAACAACUUGGACCGCAUGGUCCGAGUUUGAAAGAUGGCUUCGGCUAUCACUUUUGGAUGGUCCCGCGGCGUAUUAGCUAGAUGGUGAGGUAACGGCUCACCAUGGCAAUGAUACGUAGCCGACCUGAGAGGGUAAUCGGCCACAUUGGGACUGAGACACGGCCCAAACUCCUACGGGAGGCAGCAGUAGGGAAUCUUCCACAAUGGACGAAAGUCUGAUGGAGCAACGCCGCGUGAGUGAAGAAGGGUUUCGGCUCGUAAAACUCUGUUGUUAAAGAAGAACAUAUCUGAGAGUAACUGUUCAGGUAUUGACGGUAUUUAACCAGAAAGCCACGGCUAACUACGUGCCAGCAGCCGCGGUAAUACGUAGGUGGCAAGCGUUGUCCGGAUUUAUUGGGCGUAAAGCGAGCGCAGGCGGUUUUUUAAGUCUGAUGUGAAAGCCUUCGGCUCAACCGAAGAAGUGCAUCGGAAACUGGGAAACUUGAGUGCAGAAGAGGACAGUGGAACUCCAUGUGUAGCGGUGAAAUGCGUAGAUAUAUGGAAGAACACCAGUGGCGAAGGCGGCUGUCUGGUCUGUAACUGACGCUGAGGCUCGAAAGUAUGGGUAGCAAACAGGAUUAGAUACCCUGGUAGUCCAUACCGUAAACGAUGAAUGCUAAGUGUUGGAGGGUUUCCGCCCUUCAGUGCUGCAGCUAACGCAUUAAGCAUUCCGCCUGGGGAGUACGGCCGCAAGGCUGAAACUCAAAGGAAUUGACGGGGGCCCGCACAAGCGGUGGAGCAUGUGGUUUAAUUCGAAGCUACGCGAAGAACCUUACCAGGUCUUGACAUACUAUGCAAAUCUAAGAGAUUAGACGUUCCCUUCGGGGACAUGGAUACAGGUGGUGCAUGGUUGUCGUCAGCUCGUGUCGUGAGAUGUUGGGUUAAGUCCCGCAACGAGCGCAACCCUUAUUAUCAGUUGCCAGCAUUAAGUUGGGCACUCUGGUGAGACUGCCGGUGACAAACCGGAGGAAGGUGGGGAUGACGUCAAAUCAUCAUGCCCCUUAUGACCUGGGCUACACACGUGCUACAAUGGAUGGUACAACGAGUUGCGAACUCGCGAGAGUAAGCUAAUCUCUUAAAGCCAUUCUCAGUUCGGAUUGUAGGCUGCAACUCGCCUACAUGAAGUCGGAAUCGCUAGUAAUCGCGGAUCAGCAUGCCGCGGUGAAUACGUUCCCGGGCCUUGUACACACCGCCCGUCACACCAUGAGAGUUUGUAACACCCAAAGUCGGUGGGGUAACCUUUUAGGAACCAGCCGCCUAAUGGA